rnacentral:rRNA from 1 species
AACCUGGUUGAUUCUGCCAGUAGUCAUACGCUCGUCUCAAAGAUUAAGCCAUGCAUGUCUAAGUAUAAAUAUUUUACUUUGAGAC